CUUUCUUCUACUUCCAUGCCGUUCUUCUGAGGAUAACCUUCGGUGCCAGGCUCAAUUAUAUACAUAGCGCAAAUGAGCAACCCGGACUCUAAAUUUGGCCUUGUCCAUUGGAAGGAGGAGCCCUGGGGCAUCUUGUGUUGCCCAAAAGGAAAGAUCCUGGUCCCUACGGGGAGUCAAAGCCAACGAAAGGGGGGAAAUUCUGAAAAAAAAAAAAAAAGGGUUAGCAGAGGGUAAAAUGAGAGCAUCUACCGGGAAUUUCCUGACUUCUGUGAAUUUUCCUCCAGAUCUGGCUGUGAGUCAACUCGAUGUUCUUAGGACACGUGGAAAGACUCGAAGUGCCUCCCAGCUCCCCUCAUCCUCGGAGCACCAGGAAGAGCCUGCUGAGUAACCGGGGUGAAAAGGCAGAAGGCCCCCUCCCUCCUUGACUCUGCCCCAGACUCCAUUGUGGUAUUACUAGCCCACAUUAUCUAUAAAAAAUUUCUCUGUACAUCCAACAUAGCAACGAAAAACUUGGCCUCCUUUCAAACUU
rnacentral:lncRNA from 1 species